GAUGAAGAACGUAGCGAAAUGCGAUAAGUAAUGUGAAUUGCAGAAUUCAGUGAAUCAUCGGAUCUUUGAACGCACAUUGCGCCCGCCAGUAUUCUGGCGGGCAUGCCUGUUCGAGCGUCAUUUCAACCAUCAAGCCCCCGGCUUGUGUUGGGGACCUGCGGCUGCCGCAGGCCCUGAAAAGCAGUGGCGGGCUCGCUGUCACACCGAGCGUAGUAGCAUACAUCUCGCUCUGGGCGUGCUGCGGGUUCCGGCCGUUAAACCACCUUCAUAACCCAAGGUUGACCUCGGAUCAGGUAGGAAGACCCGCUGAACUUAAGCAUAUCAAUAAGCGGAGGA
rnacentral:misc_RNA from 1 species